rnacentral:rRNA from 1 species
CAGACGGCUGAGUAACGCGUGGGUGACGUACCUAUCGGUGGGGAAUAACUGCCCGAAAGGGUGGCUAAUACCGCAUACGUCCACCAGAGAAGUCUGGUGGGGAAAACCGCAAGGUGCCGAUGGAGCGGCCCGCGUCCGAUUAGCUGGUUGGUGGGGUAACGGCCUACCAAGGCGACGAUCGGUAGCUGGUCUCAGAGGAUGAUCAGCCAGACUGGGACUGAGACACGGCCCAGACUCCUACGGGAGGCAGCAGUUAGGAAUUUUGGGCAAUGGGCGCAAGCCUGACCCAGCAACGCCGCGUGGGUGACGAAGGCCUUCGGGUUGUAAAGCCCUUUUCUGGGGGAAGAUGAUGACGGUACCCCAGGAAGAAGCACCGGCUAACUACGUGCCAGCAGCCGCGGUAAUACGUAGGGUGCGAGCGUUGCCCGGAUUUAUUGGGCGUAAAGGGCGCGUAGGCGGUCACGCACGUCCGUUGUGAAAUCGCUCGGCUCAACUGGGCGGGGUCAGCGGAUACGGCGUGGCUGGAGCAAGCUAGGGGGCAAUGGAAUUCCCGGUGUAGUGGUGGAAUGCGUAGAUAUCGGGAGGAACACCAGUGGCGAAGGCGGUUGCCUGGAGCUUUGCUGACGCUGAUGCGCGAAAGCGUGGGGAGCGAUCCGGAUUAGAUACCCGGGUAGUCCACGCCGUAAACGAUGCGGACUAGGUGUCGGGGGUAUCGACCCCCUCGGCGCCGCAGCUAACGCAUUAAGUCCGCCGCCUGGGGACUACGGCCGCAAGGCUAAAACUCAAAGGAAUUGACGGAAUCGA